AUACGGAGGGUCCAAGCGUUAUCCGGAUUUAUUGGGUUUAAAGGGUCCGUAGGCGGGAAAUUAAGUCAGUGGUGAAAGCCUACAGCUCAACUGUAGAACUGCCAUUGAAACUGAUUUUCUUGAAUAUAGAUGAAGUGGGCGGAAUGUGUCAUGUAGCGGUGAAAUGCAUAGAUAUGACACAGAACACCGAUUGCGAAGGCAGCUCACUAAACUAUUAUUGACGCUGAGGGACGAAAGCGUGGGGAGCGAACAGGAUUAGAAACCCCAGUAGUCC
rnacentral:rRNA from 1 species